rnacentral:tRNA from 1 species
UAGAAAAUGAUGUAAUGGCUAACAUGCCCGCUUUACAAGCUGGAUAUGUGGGUUCAAAUCCUACUUUUCUCU